rnacentral:rRNA from 1 species
UUGGAGGGCAAGUCUGGUGCCAGCAGCCGCGGUAAUUCCAGCUCCAAUAGCGUAUAUUAAAGUUGUUGCAGUUAAAAAGCUCGUAGUUGAAUUUCGGGGUUAGUAGGUUGGUCAUGCCUCUGGUAUGUACUGGUCUCACUGAUUCCUCCUUCCUGAUGAACCGUAAUGCCAUUAAUUUGGUGUUGCGGGGAAUUUGGACUGUUACUUUGAAAAAAUUAGAGUGUUUAAAGCAAGCUAACGCUUGAAUACAUUAGCAUGGAAUAAUGAAAUAGGACGUUCGAUCCUAUUUUGUUGGUUUCUAGGAUUGACGUAAUGAUUAAUAGGGAUAGUUGGGGGCAUUAGUAUUCAAUUGUCAGAGGUGAAAUUCUUGGAUUUAUUGAAGACUAACUACUGCGAAAGCAUUUGCCAAGGAUGUUUUCAUUAAUCAAGAACGAAAGUUAGGGGAUCGAAGACGAUCAGAUACCGUCGUAGUCGUAACCAUAAACUAUGCCGACUAGGGAUCGGAUGAUGUUAAUUUUUUAAUGACUCAUUCGGCGCCUUACGGGAAAC